UCGUCGUCGCCGCCGCAGCCUCGGCCUGCCCGGCUACUCAUCCUUCCUCGCCAUCCUCGUCGUCUUGUCCGGCGUUCUUGCCUUCCUCCACUGCCGCCGAGGCUGGCGUCGUCGUCGCGGCGGUGGCGAAGGCGAGCAGGUGCGCGAGCUGUAGGAAGCGGGUGGGGCUUACGGGGUUCGCGUGCCGGUGCGGCGGCACGUUCUGCGGCGCACACCGGUACCCGGAGCGGCACGCGUGCGGCUUCGACUUCAAGGCCGCCGGCCGCGACGCCAUCGCGCGCGCCAACCCGCUCAUCAAGGGCGACAAGCUCAAGGACAAGAUCUGAUCCCUCCCCACCUGCCGUGCUCCCCGUCGCCGCCGGAAGAACGCGCGGUUGGAUUCCAAAUUAAAUACGCUUAUUAUUAUGUAAGCUACAGCCGGCCGGCGGUGAAAUCGCC
rnacentral:lncRNA from 1 species